rnacentral:rRNA from 1 species
GCUCAUGAACAUUAAUAGCCGCGGAAAAUUAACCGUGCUAAGGUAGCAUAAUCAUUAGCCUCUUAAUUAGAGGCCAGUAUGAACGGUGAAACAAUUCAACCUCUUUAUUAAUUAAUUAUUUUUAAUUUUAAUUAGAAAUAAAAAUGUUUCUAUUUAUAAAAUAGACGACAAGACCCUGUUUGAACUUUACCUUUGUUUGGCUGGGGCAGCCAUAAAAUUAAUAUCUUUUAAAAUAAAACAAAAUAAAUGACCCAAUAUGAAUUGAUUAUUUGAACAAGUUACCAUAGGGAUAACAGCGUAAUAUUUUUUAAAAGAUCUUAUUAAAAAAAAUGAUUGCGACCUCGAUGUUGAAUUAGUGUCACUUUACAAAUGCAGUAAUUUUAAAAGUAGGUCUGUUCGACCUUUAAAACACUACAUGAUCUGAGUUCCAAACCGGA